UUCUUUUCUGCAGGAAGAAAUCACUCUACGUGUAGGGUGUUGCCGGUACUGCAGGAAUAAGCAUCGGCUAACUCCGUGCCAGCAGCCGCGGUAAUACGGAGGAUGCAAGCGUUAUCCGGAUUUAUUGGGUUUAAAGGGUGCGUAGGCGGGCUUGUAAGUCAGUGGUGAAAUGCUGUGGCUUAACCAUAGAAUUGCCAUUGAAACUGCAAGUCUUGAGUACAGUUGAGGUGGGCGGAAUGAGUAAUGUAGCGGUGAAAUGCAUAGAUAUUACUCAGAACUCCGAUUGCGUAGGCAGCUUGCUAAACUGUAACUGACGCUGAUGCACGAAAGCGUGGGGAGCGAACAGGAUUAGAUACCCUGGUAGUCCACGCUGUAAACGAUGAGCACUGGUUGUUGGCAAUACACCGUCAGCGACUGAGCGAAAGUAUUAAGUGCUCCACCUGGGGAGUACGUCGGCAACGAUGAAACUCAAAGGAAUUGACGGGGGCCCGCACAAGCGGAGGAACAUGUGGUUUAAUUCGAUGAUACGCGAGGAACCUUACCUGGGCUUAAAUGUAGAGUGCAUUGCUUGGAAACAGGCAUUUUCUUCGGAACUCUUUACAAGGUGCUGCAUGGUUGUCGUCAGCUCGUGCCGUGAGGUGUCGGGUUAAGUCCCAUAACGAGCGCAACCCCUAUUGUUAGUUACCAGCACGUAAUGGUGGGGACUCUAGCAAGACUGCCGGUGUAAACCGUGAGGAAGGUGGGGAUGACGUCAAAUCAGCACGGCCCUUAUGUCCAGGGCUACACACGUGUUACAAUGGCAAGUACAAAGAGCAGCCACCUGGCGACAGGGCGCUAAUCUCAAAAGCUUGCCUCAGUUCGGAUCGAAGUCUGCAACUCGACUUCGUGAAGGUGGAUUCGCUAGUAAUCGCGCAUCAGCCAUGGCGCGGUGAUACGUUCCCGGGCCUUGUACACACCGCCCGUCAAGCCAUGGAAGCCGGGGGUACCUGAAGUCCGUAACCGCAAGAUCGGCCUAGGGUAAAACUGG
rnacentral:rRNA from 1 species